rnacentral:rRNA from 1 species
AUAUUGGACAAUGGGCGCAAGCCUGAUCCAGCCAUGCCGCGUGAGUGACGAAGGUCUUCGGAUUGUAAAGCUCUUUUGGCGGGGACGAUAAUGACGGUACCCGCAGAAUAAGCCCCGGCUAACUUCGUGCCAGCAGCCGCGGUAAUACGAAGGGGGCUAGCGUUGUUCGGAAUCACUGGGCGUAAAGCGCACGUAGGCGGAUGUGUCAGUCAGGGGUGAAAUCCCGGAGCUCAACUUCGGAACUGCCUCUGAUACAGCACGUCUUGAGUCCGGAAGAGGUGGGUGGAAUUCCUAGUGUAGAGGUGAAAUUCGUAGAUAUUAGGAAGAACACCGGUGGCGAAGGCGGCCCACUGGUCCGGUACUGACGCUGAGGUGCGAAAGCGUGGGGAGCAAACAGG